rnacentral:rRNA from 1 species
GUAGGCACUCUAGAGGGACUGCCGGUGUCAAACCGGAGGAAGGUGGGGAUGACGUCAAGUCCUCAUGGCCUUUAUGUCUAGGGCUACACACGUACUACAAUGGCCGGUACAAAGGGCAGCCACUCAGCGAUGAGGCGCUAAUCCCAUAAAGCCGGUCUCAGUCCGGAUCGCAGUCUGCAACUCGACUGCGUGAAGUUGGAAUCGCUAGUAAUCGUAGAUCAGCAUGCUACGGUGAAUACGUUCCCGGGCCUU